rnacentral:lncRNA from 1 species
CUGGCACUUGAGAUUCCAGGUACCAACUUGCUUUUCAGAUGACUCGUGACCUCGCGCUAAACGUAGCAAUACAAACAAAUAGUGGUAUAGGCAAAAUUAACAUUACACCAAACAUAAGCACAAACUGCAUAAUAAUAAUUUACACUGCAUAACGAGAUCGUAGAAAGAAGAACCACUCAAUUCGGAGCUACGGUUAUUGAGUUAUGAGUUUCCGAAAUUAUUUUAGUGCUUAGAAUAGAUUAAUCCAAAUGAACAAUCUUAAUUCAUGUUUCAUGGCUAAACAGUGUUACUAGUUGAUAGAGAAUAUUGAAACAAAAUUAAUGCAACUGGAACGAGUUAAAAAGGAGUUAAAAUGGAUUUAAUAUAAAUUAAGCAAGUUUCUUGGAUUAUUUUUAUAACAAAAAUCAUUAAUAUAACUAUUUCAUAAACUUUCUGGGCUGGGGCCACUAUUUCUCAUAAGCACAUGGUUAAAUCUGCAAAUAAAAGGACCCGGUUGGAAUUAUGUUUGAACCAGCAUAGAUGGCGGGUUAGUUUGACCAUUCCCCGGGGGCUCUUUAGCAAAAGUCAUGGCCGAACGGGUAUCUGCGAAUUCAGGCCGUUGGAUCUGAAGCCCGCGGCCCAGAUUAGAUUGUCUCCAACCCGAAUUGGUAUCCAGCAUCGAUCGCACGAUUUAACAUCGACCGCCCAGAUUCGAUCACGGGUUCCGCGCGCUGGAUCACCAUCUAACGGUCCUGGUUCAUCCACUUCAUCUUCCUAUAGCCACAGUUGAUCACUAGAUCAAUGGACUCCAUGCUUCUUCCUGCUCCCGACUGCACGACAGGGCGGCGGAAGAAGAGCUCCGCCCCGAUAGCUCACCGAUGCCCGCGAAACCAACACCCCGACGACCGAACCCCAAUCGAAGUAGCAAAAAUGCGAAGCGGAACCCCAAUCGAGUAUUUUACCGACGGUGGAGCAGUGGAGAACCUGCCCCCAUGGUGAGAUGCGGCCCGACGGUGAUGUCCACGAACCGGUGAGCAAUUCGGCCUCCACCGAGAGUCUUCUCCUCGCUCAAGUGCCACAGACGUCAUCUAUGUACCCCAGCGGGUCGCCCAGACCAUGCGAC